UCCUUGAUGGCUUAGUGGUAAAGAAUCUGCCUGCCAGUGCAGGAGACACGGAUUCAAUCCCUGAUCCAGGAA
rnacentral:tRNA from 1 species